UUUGGGUGUACAACUCUCUCCCCCUUAAAGAAAUUUGGUCCCCCAAAUUUGUCUCUUACUCUUGGUCAAACAAAUGGAGAUACUGGGCUUUAAAAUCUGAUUCUAGCUCCCAGGUAGCCUCCCUUGGUGAGUGGUUCUGCUACAUUACUUUUACAAAUGAUAUUUUCCAGUUGCGGAGUAUUAUGCUCUUUCGGUCCGUGAUAUCGACAGGGACUUCCUCAUAAAAUAAAUCCCCUUAUAGUGGGAGUGUUCCAUGAGCCAAGACAUGAGAGGGGUCUGAGUUGUACUUAUGUAGCAUGGAUACAUGGAACAUAUUGUGGACCUUGGAGAGCUUUGGAGGCAGUGCUAG
rnacentral:lncRNA from 1 species